rnacentral:rRNA from 1 species
AGCACUGUUAAGGCUAGGGUCAUCCUGACUUACCAACCCUUUGCAAACCCGAAUACCAGUAAGUAAUAUCCGGGAGACACACGGCGGGUGCUAACGUCCGUCGUGGAGAGGGAAACAACCCAGACCGCCAGCUAAGGUCCCAAAGUAUAGCUAAGUGGGAAACGAUGUGGGAAGGCUCAGACAGCCAGGAUGUUGGCUUAGAAGCAGCCAUCAUUUAAAGAAAGCGUAAUAGCUCACUGGUCGAGUCGGCCUGCGCGGAAGAUGUAACGGGCUAAGCUAUACACCGAAGCUGCGGCAUCAUAGUUUACUAUGAUGUAGGGAGCGUUCUGUAAGCCGUUGAAGGUGAACUGAGAAGUUUGCUGGAGGUAUCAGAAGUGCGAAUGCUGACAUGAGUAACGAUAAAGGAGUGAAAACUCCUCGCCGGAAGACCAAGGGUUCCUGUCCAACGUUAAUCGGGGCAGGGUAAGUCGACCCCAAGGCGAGGCUGAAAAGCGUAGUCGAUGGGAAACGGGUUAAUAUUCCCGUACUUCUUACAAAUGCGAUGGGGACGGAGAAGGCUAGGUGGGCCUGGCGAUGGUUGUCCAGGUUCGCGCGUAGGCUAAUUUCUUAGGUAAAUCCGGGAAAUUGUUAGGCUGAGACACGAUGUCGAGCUACUACGGUAGUGAAGUCAUUGAUGCCAUGCUUCCAGGAAAGCCUCUAAGCUUCAGUUUGUAAGAAAUCGUACUUCAAACCGACACAGGUGGUCGGGUAGAGAAUACCAAGGCGCUUGAGAGAACUCGGGUGAAGGAACUAGGCAAAAUGGUACCGUAACUUCGGGAGAAGGUACGCUCCUAGCGGUGAUGAGACUUGCUCUCUAAGCUGCCGGGAGUCGCAGAUACCAGGUGGCUGCAACUGUUUAUUAAAAACACAGCACUGUGCAAAAUCGUAAGAUGACGUAUACGGUGUGACGCCUGCCCGGUGCCGGAAGGUUAAUUGAUGGGGUUAUCUUCGGAGAAGCUCUUGAUCGAAGCCCCGGUAAACGGCGGCCGUAACUAUAACGGUCCUAAGGUAGCGAAAUUCCUUGUCGGGUAAGUUCCGACCUGCACGAAUGGCGUAAUGAUGGCCACGCUGUCUCCACCCGAGACUCAGUGAAAUUGAAAUCGCUGUGAAGAUGCAGUGUACCCGCGGCUAGACGGAAAGACCCCGUGAACCUUUACUACAGCUUGGCACUGAACAUUGACCCUACAUGUGUAGGAUAGGUGGGAGACUUUGAAGCAAUCACGCCAGUGGUUGUGGAGUCAACCUUGAAAUACCACCCUUGUAGUGUUGAUGUUCUAACUUAGCCCCAUUAUCUGGGGUGAGGACAGUUGGUGGGUAGUUUGAUCAGCGGUCUCCUCCCAAAGAGUAACGGAGGAGCACGAAGGUGGGCUAAACACGGUUGGACAUCGUGUGGUUAGUGCAAUGGCAUAAGCCCGCUUGACUGCGAGAAUGACAAUUCGAGCAGGUGCGAAAGCAGGUCAUAGUGAUCCGGUGGUUCUGAAUGGAAGGGCCAUCGCUCAACGGAUAAAAGGUACCCGGGGAUAACAGGCUGAUACCGCCCAAGAGUUCAUAUCGACGGCGGUGUUUGGCACCUCGAUGUCGGCUCAUCACAUCCUGGGCUGAAGUCGGUCCCAAGGGUAUGGCUGUUCGCCAUUUAAAGUGGUACGCGAGCUGGGUUUAGAACGUCGAGACAGUUCGGUCCCUAUCGCCGUGGGCGUUGGAAGAUUGAAGGGGCUGCUCCUAGUACGAGAGGACCGGAGUGGACGAACCUCUGGUGUUCGGGUUGUCAUGCCAAUGGCAUUGCCCGGUAGCUAAGUUCGGAAUCGAUAAGUGCUGAAAGCAUCUAAGCACGAAGCGAGCCCUAAGAUGAGUCUUCCCUGGCGCUUUAAGCGUCCUAAAGGGUUGU